UACGAAGGGGGCUAGCGUUGUUCGGAAUUACUGGGCGUAAAGCGCGCGCAGGCGGCUAUCCAAGUCAGUGGUGAAAGCCCCGGAGCUCAACUCCGGAACUGCCAUUGAAACUGUUAGCUUGAGGAUGAGAGAGGUGAGUGGAAUUCCCAGUGUAGAGGUGAAAUUCGUAGAUAUUGGGAAGAACACCGGUGGCGAAGGCGGCUCACUCGGCCCGUAACUGACGCUGAGGUGCGAAAGCGUGGGGAGCAAACAGGG
rnacentral:rRNA from 1 species